rnacentral:rRNA from 1 species
UACGUAGGGGGCAAGCGUUGUCCGGAUUUAUUGGGCGUAAAGAGCGUGUAGGCGGUUUUACAGGUCCGCUGUGAAAACUCGAGGCUCAACCUCGAGCUGUCGGUGGAAACCGUAAGGCUAGAGUCCGGAAGAGGAGAGUGGAAUUCCUGGUGUAGCGGUGAAAUGCGCAGAUAUCAGGAAGAACACCCGUGGCGAAAGCGACUUCCUGGACCAAUACUGACGCUCAUGUGCGAAAGCGUGGGGAGCAAACAGG